AUCCAGCUGACGAGUCCCAAACAGGACGAAACGCGUGUCCUGGAU
rfam:Schistosoma margrebowiei strain Zambia genome assembly, scaffold: SMRZ_scaffold0002188